rnacentral:lncRNA from 11 species
GAAGAAGGCGAAGAGAAGGAAAAACCUACUCCUCUUCUCCUUCAACUCCUUCUCCGCUGAGAGGCUCGGAAAGACCCGCGAGAGACCGGGCAGGAGACCGCCGGGCCCGACAGGUAGAUCAAGGCCUUCUCCUCCUCCUCCUCUUCUUCAAGAUGGGCCUCGUCUUCUUCUUCGUCUUGGCCCAAGACGCGCAGAGCGCCUCCUCCUGAGCCUCCUCUCCUCUGUUGCUGCAGCCUGGCUGCCACUUGGCCCGCGGUGGUCUCCAAGGUGCACAGCACCGGCAGUAGGUAGCAGUGGUGGUGGUGGUGAUGGUGGUGAUGGGGGUAGUUGUAGUAGUAGACAUGGACGCAGCCCCGGCGGAGGUCCCGCCGCACCCAGUCCCGCUCCGCCGCCUGCAGAGGCUGGACCUGCCGCGGGGGCUUGGGCGGCAGGAGCAGCGCCUUCCGGUCCAGGCUGCGCGAGGCCGAAGCGGCGGCAGGAGGAAAAGGAGGAGGCGGAGAGAGCGGAGAGGGAAGCGGCGAAGGCGAGGCGGCGGAGGAGAGGUUCCUCUUGAGGCGGCCUCUCCGCGCCAGGAGCGAGUUGGCCCCCAGAGAAGCCGAUGAAGGAGUCCCGUUCGCGGCCGCUCCCCCGCGCUUGCGUCGCCUCUGCUGGGCUCCUUCAGGGCCCAUGUCGCUCCCGACGCUUCCUUCGGCUUGCUGCUGCUGCGCAGGUUCCAUUAGGAUGGUUGAUCGAACGUUCCGAAGAAAGGAGACCAAGGGGGAGGGAUUAUGUCGCCAUGGCGAACAUUCCGCCGCUGUCUCCCCUCAGCCUCGCCGCGCGCGCCAUUAGCAGACUGACUGGACUGGGCGGGAGAGAGAGAGAGAGAGACAAACUCGCGCCUCAUCCUCCUCAGAGCAAGCCCCGCCCGCUCUCCUCUCCCCCCCCCCGCCCGCCUUAUGAAUAUUCAUGAAGCAGGCUUUGCUUCCAGCGUUCCAUCUGGUUCUGCCUCGACGCGCGCGCCAUUAGCGACUGACUGGACUGGGCGGGAGAGGCAAGCUCGCGCCACCUUCUCCUCUUCAGAACGCCCACUAAGCCAAGCCUCUCCUCCUCCUAUUCCCUCGCCU